AUUUCUGUUACAGAUAAACGUGGACCAGCUAGUUCAGAGAAGGUUAGGGAAUAUUUCCUCAGCAAGACGGAAUCGGAGACAGCGCGACUUUGGAUAAAUUCCAUUUUCUUUUGGAAACCAAUGAAAAACUCAUAUGCAGAACCUAUUGACCAACCUGGACUAUCAGCAUCUAAGGAAACAGCUCAAUGAAGACAUGAAUAGUGACAAAAAUAUCCCACUCUCAAUCCAUAUUGAAGAAUAGAUCAACUUUGUGCAACAUAUACAGAUAGAAUUGCCCAGUCAUUGUCCAUCAUAUGUGCUAAGGAAUGUUCAAGUGAAGAAUGAAAAAGUGAAGAUAAUGAACUGUAUAAAGAAUACAAAAUUAAAAGUUUAAGAA